AUUUGAGACACAGAAUCGCAGAGAGGAGAAGGCCACGUGAAGAUGGAGGCAGAGACGAGCGACGCAGCCAUGAGCCAAGGGACGCCUGGAGACACGGGAAGCCGGAAGAGGCUGGGAAGGAUCCUCCCCUAGAGCCACCAUGGGGAGCAGGGCCCUGCCAGGCCCUGGAUUUCAAACCUGUGGCCUCCAGCACUGUGAGUGAACGCAUCGCUGUUGUCUCAGGCCACUCAGUUUCUGGUCAUUUGUGACAGCGGCCUCAGGACAUGAAUACAGCUAUGCUUCAGAGAGGACUGCACGAAGCUGAGGCCCGAGCCCUGACCUGGGAUCACAGAGGCACAGCAAGACCGCCUGCCCCAGCCUCCCCUGCAGGGAGGAAUGACCGCCAGUUGAGAUUGCAGUCAACGGAACAGAAGCGGAAGUGAUAUGCACUUUCUCUUCUGCCAGCCAGAGGCGGCCGAGCCCGGUGACCUGGGCAUCUGCGUAUUCAGGAUGGAGGAGCUGGGAGCUGGGAGGAGCCUGAAGCUGCUUGGAGGAGAGCUGCCUGCCCGACUUGAGAGGGGCAAUAAAUAUCUUUCCACGGCUCAAAUGAACAGCCAGUUUUCAGUAUGUGGCUUGUUACGGUGUCCAGCAUUGCGGGCACGGACACACAAUGUCUAAAAUGGGUGCAGUUCUACAAAGCACACCCGAGAUCCCUGGGCUGUGGGCAGUCCAGCGGGCAGGCAAGCCCCUGCCCCAGCUUGCAGCUGUGCUAGCACAAAAGGGCCAAUCUCUCUGGGCAAGGGUUGCACUAGGCAAUCCCACUGGGGAUGACUCUUCUGGGUGACCAAGGUUCAGGCUCUUUCCUGGGAGUUCCUGGGUCUGGAGAGAAGGCUACGGGGGACUGGGUACCAGGAUGGGUAAGGUCAGAAGGACAGGGGCUGGGGUCACUGGCAUUCCCCUGAGGGAGGCCGCAUUUCACAGGCUUUUCCAGUUGGUGAAGCCUUUGCCCGCAGGGUCUCUUUAAAAGGAAACCAGACAAAGCCAACCCAAUACUUGCUGCGCUGCGCCCUGACCUCAAACCAUCCUGCCUAGCUACUGGCAAUUAGGCUGCCUUUGAGAUAAAUUUUCUCGCCUAAAAAUGCCCAUGGGUCUUAAAACUUUGAUUUUCCGUUCGAUUCAAAUUUAAAUCCAGAAUCGCAGUGCUGUGGGGGGUGGGGGGGAAAUGCCCAGGAUAAAGACAAUGUCCUAGCUAACAAACCAACCAGUGAGUGACAGAGGGGCCUCAGCAGGAAGUCUGGGCAGAACGGAGCUUGCUAGGUCACCCCAUGUGAACUGCUUUGGAGAACAGAGUGGUAGCUUUGUUAGAUUUAUGGGGACGGCGGCUCAGCCUGUCUAAUCGCAGUUGAGGCGGGGCCGAGAGGUGUCUCCCCUGUGUCCACGCUAGCUGGGUGCUUCCCUCCCACGGACACAGAGGCCGGGCUGCCACUUCCAUCCUUCCCCUGACACCUCCCGUCAUCUUCUGGGAAACACCAAGUGACACAAACAGGACACUGAUUUCCUGGAAAUUUAUAUCUGGCUCAGGAGUUGCACCUGCUGAAGAGGUGAAGAUGACAAAGGCCCUCCAUGCGACUGAGAAUAACGCAGAGAUGGUCCCUCAGGCUUGAGAGCCAUAAUUUCACCAGCUCGUUUAUUUCUAAUUAGAUAAAGAAUACAAGUUUUUAAAAAAAGUUACUUUACAGAAGAGCCAAGGUGACUACAGUUAAUAAUAAUUUAUUGCAUAUUUCAAAAUAUACAAGAGAAGAUUUGGAGUGUUCCCAGCACAAAGAAAUACAUGUUGGAGGUGACGACAUCGCAGUUAUCCUGAUUUGAUCCUUAGACAUCGUGUGCAUGUAUCAAAACGUCACAUGGGCCCGUACAUAUGUACAAUUACUAGGUAUCAGUUAACAAAUAGCUGAGCCCCCUGUGACUCACCCUCCACCCAUCUCUUCCUCCAACGGGUUACCUUGGAGGAAGGCUUAUCUUGAAGGAUUAUCACAUUGGUGUGGAGCUUUCCAGAACUUUUGCAUAACAUUUAUGUUCCCUUGGAAAAUGUGGAGUACAGAGAAUACAUAUAAUAUUUUUGCAUGCUUUUUUAAAAAGCAGAGGCCGGGUGCGGUGGCUCACACCUGUAAUCCCAGCACUUUGGGAGGCCGAGGCGGGCGGAUCACGAGGUCAGGAGAUCAAGACCAUCCUGGCUAACACAGUGAAAACCCGUCUCUACUAAAAAUACAAAAAAAUUAGCCGGGCGUGGUGGCAGGUGCCUGUAGUCCCAGCUCCUCAGGAGGCUGAGGCAGGAGAAUGGCGUGAACCCAGGAGGCGGAGCUUGCAGUGAGCUGAGAUCACGCGCCACUGCACUCCAGCCUGGGCGACAGAGUGAGACUCCGUCUCGGAAAAAAAAAAAAAAAAAAAAGCAGAAAUAUUAUUAUACUACAGUGGUUGGUCUGUGACCUGUGGUUAGUAUUUGGGAUGGUGUCUUGGGAAUCACGUCGUGGUUGGUAUGCAAAUAUUCCUCUUUCUUUUAUACGUUGGCAUUGUUUUUGGUCAUUUGAAUGAGGGUUGAGCUCCUGCCAUGUGCUGGGUGCUUUCUCUUGUAGGUGAGCAAGAAAGACAGUCUUUGCUCUCAUAGAGUUAUGGUCCCAUGGGGGAAGACUGACCAACAACAAAAGGUGAACAGAAACCAUACCGUGUGCUGGCCAGAGCUAUGAAUAAACAGGAAGCCGACUAAGGGACUGCAGGUGGAGGGGGGGGAGGAACACAGAGGGGCAGAGGAGAUCUGGGGUCGGGGGCUGAGCUGGAGCUCUGCCCAGGGUCUCAGCUGACCCAAGGGUUUGUACGUGGCGGCGAGCAGGGGUUAUCACUGGUCCUGUUUCAGAGCUAAGGAAACAUGCUGGGACUUGCCCCAGAUUUAACAGGAAAGCCCAACUAUUCAAAAGUUAAACAACAAAAAGUGAAGAACAUUGCUUUUUUAAAAAUUCCAAAUUUAAAAAAAUGUAGUAGAAGACACAAAGCAUAAAAUUUGCCAUUUUACAGUGGCCAGUUCAUGGCAUUAACUACAUUUACAGUGUGUGCAGCCAUCACCAGCGUGCAUCUCCAGAACUUUCUCAUCCUCCCAAACUGAAACUCUGUCCCCAUUACACACGAACUCCCCAUCCCCUUCCCCAGCCCCCGACACCCACCAUCCUACUUUCUGUCUCUAUGAAUGUGACGGAUGUGACUACUCUAGGAACCUCACUUGAGCGGAAUCAUACAGUUCAAAGGAAGAGAAUGUUGUAUUUGGCCACUCCUGGCAUCUGUCCAUCUGCUUCCCGAUGGGUCCCAGGCUGGAUACCUCCAUGUGGGGUGGACGCAGCGACAGGAACUGAGGGGGCCCCCGGCCAAGGGCAGGACCAGCAGCCCUCCCGCAUGGCAGCUCCCGCCUGCUGCAAAUGCAAGAGGGAGGUUGAUCUUGGAAGAACACACCUUUCCAACAUGCAUUCCCAGAGACAAUGCAGAUCUCAGCAAAGUCAGGGGUGAGGACAGUGCUGAAAUCCAUCUCCAGACCUGCUUGCUAAACCCCACAGUGUCACUGAGUCCCACUUUGCUGUGCUCAUUUCAUUGAUUCCUUCCUUUAUGCAUUCAGCAAACAACAGCCCAUGCCUUUUGCCAAGACCGACACCUGUGCCUCAGACAAACACGUGGAGAAGAAGGUGACUGCCUUUAAGAUGACCCCAGCCUGGCAGGGACUAUGAACAAGCAGGAAAUUCAUCAAAAGAUCUCGUCAAAGGCUGGGCAUGGUGGCUCAUGGCUGUAAUGCCAGCACUUUGGGAGGCUGAAGCGGGCAGAUCACCUGAGUUCAGGAGUUCGAGACGAGCCUGGCCAACAUGGUGAAACCCAGUCUUUACUAAAACUACAAAAAUUAGCUGGGCACCUAUAAUCCCAGCUAUCUUAGGAGGCUGAGGCAGGAGAAUCGCUUGAACCUGGGAGGCGGAGAUUGCAGUGGGCCGAGAUCACGCCACUGCACUCCAGCCUGAGCAACAGUGAGAUUCUGUCUCAAAACAAAAACAAAAACAAAAAUAAAAAACACAUCAAGAAUGCUUUGAAGAAGCACACAAGGUACACACAAGCUUCAUCCUGCUCAAUGCCAGAAUCCCGGUGUUGCUGGUCGGAGGCAGGGGCUGUCUAGGGGGGCUAUAGGCUGGGGAUAGGGCUGGACAUGGGGCUGCUGGGCACACAGCCUGUUCUCCAGGAACAACAACAACAACAAAAACAAAAAACAAAAAACUGAACAACAAAUCAGUCCACUGUAAUCAGAAGGCUCAUCGAAAAACACUCUGGAAAAAUUAACUGACAACAAAAAAUGUCUUCCCGGAAAAGAUGAGGCUGGGCCCAAUACAGGAAUUAAAACCAAUCACUGCUGACCCCACACGGGUGCUGCCGAGGUUCAGCUGCUAUAUUUACAACAAGAGAAUGAUGCAUAUGUCACGAAUUGGAGGCAACGCCACCUGCCACAGGCCCUCAGGGCUGAGUCCCCUCAAAUUCAGUGGCCGACACCUCACAGUUUCGCUUCAGUCCAGCAGCAGACUGGGGAGCUGGGGCAAGGCAGAGUGCCCUGGGCUUUGAGUCCAGCAUCGGGGUGGCCAGGACCCCCGAGAACCCUCUGACCCCCUGCCCUGCCACAGCAGGGCAUACAGUGUUCAAGAACUCUGGAGCCGGAGCCAGACUUGGGUUUGAAUCCUGCCCUGUCACUCCCUCAUCAUCACCUGUGAUGGGUCAUCCUAUGUUCACCAAACCUCAGCUGUUCCAUGUGCAAACUGACACUAAUGCCAUCUCCUUCCUCACACUGCUGAGCGUGGAAGGGGACCCUGGCAUACAGUAAGUGCUCAAGAAGUGGCAGAGGUCAUUAUUGAAACAGUCCUUGUUAUUGUUCCCAGAGCUGUGUGGACCCCCAGAACUCGCAUGCUGGUAGCCUGUGGCGGCAAGGGCAGCGUUUGGAUCUCCUGUGCUUGGUGCCCCCUCAAACCCAGGACAUUCAGUGUAAAUGACUGUGAGCCUCAGGCUGGAAAGAUCGUUUCCCUUCCCAGCUAGAAAGACUCAUCCAUCAGGCUGUGUCAGACGCACCUGAGCCCUCCAGGGUGGUCAAAGGUAAGGAAGCUUGUGUCCCAAGUGCAGCAUUUAGGGCUUCCCAAGGCAAAGUGCCCAAUCAGGCUCUCUACUCUCCAAGUUCGUGGUGCAUGGUAGCCACAGCUCACCUCUCCCAAUACACAGGAUCUCCAAGGGCCACCCUGCCAUCCCUCAAGUUCCUCAGCCCAUGUUUUCCCUCCUUCCUUCAGUUUGACAAUAGGGGUGGAGCAACCACUUUGCAGGAUGUCUCUGCUUAGGGGCUAUGGAGAAGCAUGGGACCUGAACUCUGCACUCUUUGGGAAGAAGGAUCAGAUAGGAUUCAAAUCUGUUUCACCAACCACUAGGCUCCAGGCUUGAGCCUAACAAGCAGUUGCUCAAAAUAACUUGGUAGAUGUGUGUAACCCAGAUAGAUACCCUAACCCCACGUGGUCCAGUCCUUGUUGGAAAGAUUUUCAAGGAAUCACAGUCCAGAUACCAAACAGAUAGAAAACAGGGUUUCUGAUCUUUAAUAGUACUUCUCCAGUUAUUAAAAGGAAUCUAACUUUUAUUUAUUUUAUUUAUUUAUUUAUUUAUUUAUUUAUUUAUUUAUUUAUUUAUUUUUGAGACAGAGUAUUGCUCUGUUGCCCAGGCUGGAGUGCAGUGGCACAAUCUCGGCUCACUGCAACCUCUGCUUCCUGGGUUCAAGCGGUUCUCCCUGCCUCAGCCUCCCGAGUAGCUGGUACUACAGGUGUCCGCCACCAUGCCCAGCAAAUUUUUGUAUUUUUUUUAGUAGAGAUAGGGGUUUCACCACGUUGGCCAGGCUGGUCUUGAACUCUUGACCUCAGGGGAUCUGCCUGCCUUGGCCUCCCAAAGUGCUGGGAUUACAGGUAUGAGCCACCGCGCCCAGCCAAAAGAAAUCUAACUUAAAGCACAAAGCAAUAUCUUUUGGUAGCCCCAACUUUUAUCAUCUGUAUGUAGAAGUAAGCCCCCAGUUUUCCUUCAAGUCUUGCCUGUGCAUAACUUUUGUUCCUUCCGGCUUUCUGCCUAAGCUCCCUCUGUUUCUUUGUUUUCCUCUUUCCUCUAGAAUCUGCAUCACAGAAGAUAUCCAGUUGGGCAAGACCCCGCCUCCCUGACAGGUGGCACAGGAGGGUGGUUGGAGCAGGAGGGUGGGAAGUGAUACGUGGAUCUUGGAAGAACAGCCUGGCUCUACCACUCGCCGUGUGUCUGUGGGUAUGUGAGUCCCCACUCUGUGCUGUGGCCUCCUCAUGCAGAGAAAGGAGCUGAUAAAAGUCACCGAGUUAAACUUAACACAAAGUGAGUUCAUGUGUGUGAACUCUCUCAAAAACGGUGCUGGCACACAGUAGGUGCUCAAGCAGCGCAAGCAUUUUACACAGUCACUGCCGUGGCUGUUCGGAGUCUUAUUUGCAGUCUGUAUCAUGCUGCUCAGCAGUUAAGCUUUUGUUGGAUCUGAGCUCUGUCUUAACAAAAGGGGACAGGACCCCCUUCCCUCUGCGGUCCUUCUGCCCAGGCAUGUGACGAAGGUGGUGAACUCAGCACUCACUGAACACCCGCCCAUCCCACCCCGGAUGGGGACUCUGGGGUGUGCAUCAGCAGUUUCAAGAAACACAGAAUGACCACCUGACCCAGCAAUUCCACUCCUAGGUAUGUACCCUAAGGAACUGAAAACGAAAACUGGUACAAAAACGUUUAUGUCGACAUUAUUCACAACCAUAAGUUAGAAACAGCCCAAGUGUCCCUGAACUAGUGAAUGGAUAAACUAAUUGUGGUCUAACCACAUGGUGGAACGUUAUUCACCCACAAACAGAAGGUAGUACGGACACAUGCUACCAUACGGAUGAACCUAAAGCACACGAUGCUGAAAGAAGCCAGACAAAAGGUUGCCUAGAGCAUGAUUCUGUGGGUGGAAAAUGCCCGGAACAGGCAGACCCAAGACCCAGAGGGGAUGAGUAUUUGCCUGGGGCUGGGAGGGAGAUGGAGAGUGAGUGCUAAUGGGUUUGAUGGUAAAUUUUAUGGUCUGUGUAUUUUACCACAAUAAAAAAGACAUACCCAAGUGAAAAAAAAAGUGUAUAAACACAUGACAAAAUGUAUUACUAACAGACACAUAUAAAGAAGUAAAAUUCCACAAAGAUAAGCCUUGUUAUGCGGACACUGUCUCCUGGUGGCAGCAUCCCUGGUUUUUUCUUUGGCUUCUCUGCAUUACCAAUUUUAUUUGUGUCUGACAUGAUUUACUCGAAACACAGUGAAAUAAUGCUAAUGUAAAAGCUGGCUAUCAGGCAGAUAUGGGGGUAAAGUUUACUCAAAAUUUCCUAGGACCAGGGGUACAAUUCCCCCUGUAAACCCCUCAGGAUUCCAGUGGGCCUGGGGAGAGAAGGCUGGCACCUUCCAGGGAAGGGCUGGCUUCUCACGCUCUCUCUGAUGUAAAUGAAUCCACCCCUCCACCUCCAUCAGCUUUUCAAGUUCAGGCCCUGAUGGAGAGGGGGAAGGGGUUUGGGAGGAAGGAGACCCUUG
rnacentral:lncRNA from 10 species